rnacentral:tRNA from 1 species
AAUAUAGUGCCUGAUUAAAAAGGGUAGUUUUGAUAGAACUAAUAAUGUAACUUUAUUUUACCUAUAUUA